rnacentral:rRNA from 1 species
GCAGUGGGUACGGGCAGGGCUAGAGUGCAGUAGGGGAGACUGGAAUUCCUGGUGUAGCGGUGAAAUGCGCAGAUAUCAGGAGGAACACCGAUGGCGAAGGCAGGUCUCUGGGCUGUUACUGACGCUGAGGAGCGAAAGCAUGGGGAGCGAACAGGAUUAGAUACCCUGGUAGUCCAUGCCGUAAACGUUGGGCACUAGGUGUGGGGGACAUUCCACGUUUUCCGCGCCGUAGCUAACGCAUUAAGUGCCCCGCCUGGGGAGUACGGCCGCAAGGCUAAAACUCAAAGGAAUUGACGGGGGCCCGCACAAGCGGCGGAGCAUGCGGAUUAAUUCGAUGCAACGCGAAGAACCUUACCAAGGCUUGACAUACACCGGAUCGCAGCAGAGAUGUUGUUUCCCCUUUGGGGCUGGUGUACAGGUGGUGCAUGGUUGUCGUCAGCUCGUGUCGUGAGAUGUUGGGUUAAGUCCCGCAACGAGCGCAACCCUCGUUCUAUGUUGCCAGCACGUGAUGGUGGGGACUCAUAGGAGACUGCCGGGGUCAACUCGGAGGAAGGUGGGGAUGACGUCAAAUCAUCAUGCCCCUUAUGUCUUGGGCUUCACGCAUGCUACAAUGGCCGGUACAAUGGGUUGCGAUACUGUGAGGUGGAGCUAAUCCCAAAAAGCCGGUCUCAGUUCGGAUUGGGGUCUGCAACUCGACCCCAUGAAGUCGGAGUCGCUAGUAAUCGCAGAUCAGCAACGCUGCGGUGAAUACGUUCCCGGGCCUUGUACACACCGCCCGUCAAGUCACGAAAGUUGGUAACACCCGAAGCCGAUGGCCUAACCCUUGUGGAGGGAGUCGU